rnacentral:rRNA from 1 species
CCUACGGGUGGCAGCAGUGGGGAAUUUUGCGCAAUGGGCGAAAGCCUGACGCAGCAACGCCGCGUGAGUGAUGAAGGUCUUCGGGGUGUAAAGAUCUGUCAGUGGGGACGAAACGUCACGGUACCCACCGAGGAAGAACCGGCUGACUCCGUAACAGCAGCCGCGGUAAUACGGAGGGUGCAAGCGUUGACCGGAAUCAUUGGGCGUAAAGAGUUCGUAGGUGGUAUAGGAAGUCUGGUGUUAAAUGCAAACGCUCAACUUCGGUUCUGCACUUGAUACUGGUAAGCUUGAGUGCGGGAGAGGUAAGUGGAAUGCGUGGUGUAGCGGUGAAAUGCGUAGAUAUCAGGAGGAACAGCGGUGGCGUAGGCGAUUUACUGGGCCGUAACUGACGCUGAGGAACGAAAGCGGGGGUAGCAAAUGGGAUUAGAUACCCGAGUAGUC